UACGAAGGGGGCUAGCGUUGCUCGGAAUCACUGGGCGUAAAGGGCGCGUAGGCGGCCUUCUAAGUCGAACGUGAAAUCCCCGGGCUCAACCCGGGAACUGCGUCCGAUACUGGAAGGCUUGAAUCCGGGAGAGGGAUGCGGAAUUCCAGGUGUAGCGGUGAAAUGCGCAGAUAUCAGGAGGAACACCGGUGGCGAAGGCGGGUCUCUGGGCCGAUACUGACGCUGAGGAGCGAAAGCGUGGGGAGCGAACAGG
rnacentral:rRNA from 1 species